rnacentral:snRNA from 1 species
GUGCUCCCUUCGGCAGCACAUAUACUAAAAUUCGAACGAUACAGAGAAGAUUAGCAUGGCCCCUGUGUAAAAAUG